UACGUAGGAUGCAAGCGUUAAUCGGAAUUACUGGGCGUAAAGCGUGCGCAGGCGGUUUCGUAAGUCUGUCGUGAAAUCCCCGGGCUUAACCUGGGAAUGGCGAUGGAGACUGCGAGGCUAGAGUUUGGCAGAGGGGGGUAGAAUUCCACGUGUAGCAGUGAAAUGCGUAGAGAUGUGGAGGAACACCGAUGGCGAAGGCAGCCCCCUGGGUCAAAACUGACGCUCAUGCACGAAAGCGUGGGGAGCAAACAGG
rnacentral:rRNA from 1 species